AGAUGUAAGGGGGAUGUGGCUGAGAUGUCUGUCACCUCCUUUGAUCGCCAGGGUUGACCUGGCUGACCCGGCUGGCUAGGCGAGUGUCCUCUUCCUCCCUCACUGCCCCGUGUGUGUCCCUCCCUAAGAUGUGUGCUCUGUCCAAGAGGACAACCUUCCCUGAAAAGAGACGGACUGGUCUUCGGUCGAGAGUAUACAAGUAGUUGUGAUCGCCUGCUAGAACCUCCAGACCAGCUCUAAGUUUAACAAGAAGAAGAAAGGAAAAAGGCCCAAAACAUAGCUCACCAACUAGGGUACACCUCUUA
ensembl:misc_RNA 7SK 7SK RNA